UGAGGAAUAUUGGUCAAUGGGCGCAAGCCUGAACCAGCCAUCCCGCGUGCAGGAUGACGUCCCUCUGGGUUGUAAACUGCUUUUGUACAGGAAGAAAAAUCCCUACUUGUAGGGACCUGCCGGUACUGUACGAAUAAGCAUCGGCUCACUCCGUGCCAGCAGCCGCGGUCAUACGGCGGAUGCAAGCGUUAUCCGGAUUCAUUGGGUUUAAAGGGUGCGUAGGCGGCUUUUUAAGUCAGUGGUGAAAGCCGGGCGCUCAACGAUAGAAUUGCCAUGGAUACUGAGAAGCUUGAGUGCAGGUGAGGUAAGCGGAAUGUGUAGUGUAGCGGUGAAAUGCUUAGAUAUUACACAGAACACCGGUUGCGAAGGCAGCUUACUAAACUGACACUGUCGCUGAUGCACGAAAGCGUGGGGAUCGAACA
rnacentral:rRNA from 1 species